rnacentral:rRNA from 1 species
GACGAACGCUGGCGGCGUGCCUAAUACAUGCAAGUAGAACGCACAGUUUAUACCGUAGCUUGCUACACCAUAGACUGUGAGUUGCGAACGGGUGAGUAACGCGUAGGUAACCUGCCUGGUAGCGGGGGAUAACUAUUGGAAACGAUAGCUAAUACCGCAUAAUAUUAAUUAUUGCAUGAUAAUUAAUUGAAAGGUGCAAUUGCACCACUACCAGAUGGACCUGCGUUGUAUUAGCUAGUAGGUGAGGUAACGGCUCACCUAGGCGACGAUACAUAGCCGACCUGAGAGGGUGAUCGGCCACACUGGGACUGAGACACGGCCCAGACUCCUACGGGAGGCAGCAGGAGGGAAUCUUCGGCAAUGGACGAAAGUCUGACCGAGCAACGCCGCGGGAGGGAAGAAGGGUGUCGGAUCGUAAAGCUCUGUUGUAAGAGAAGAACGGGUGUGAGAGUGGAAAGUUCACACUGUGACGGUAUCUGACCAGAAAGGGACGGCUAACUACGUG